UGCCAGGCUCCACCUAUCUGCAGUACCUAUUUGCAGAGUGUGUAAAAUGAUUGUCGGUGUAAAACAGGGGUUUAGCCAGCUGCACUGUACAGUGCAGUAUAUAAGCAGCCCUCAACAUUUAGCCCUGCUGUUUCAGGAUCUAUCGGAAGGUUUGAUGCUUGGGAGUGUUAUUGAGAGACGAUUCGUCGGCAAAGAUGAAGAACUUUUCAUAGCAUUAGGACACAAACAGCUGUACCUUCCACGACGGCAUUUCCCAGGGCGACCUGGCCAUCGCUACGGCGAGAUGAACGAUUAGCACUGCAUCCCUGGGCCUGUUUAAUGAUGUGAUGAGCAAACGAGCCGCGUCAGCUGCAAACCCUGACCGGCGGCACCGCGGGGUCACCCGGACCGGGCCAGAGAGCUCUUCACAUUCGCUUCCCAUAGCGGCUGUGCUGAUACCACUCUGUGACUUUCUUCCGCGUCAAGGGGCUUGGUUAGCGUCAGCGCUAACCGACCAUAAAAUGGACACUGUUCACUCACUGGUACCUUAAAGAGAAGACAUUGUCGUGAUGAAAAUCCCAGCGUCAUGCAGCAGCCAAGAUGGACGGCCCCACCCCCAAAAUUGGGGACACAUUUAGGUAAACUCUUGUAUAGCACUGAAUGCAGUCAAUAAAAGGCAAGAAUGGA